rnacentral:rRNA from 1 species
CGCGGCCUAUCAGCUUGUUGGUGAGGUAACGGCUCACCAAGGCAUCGACGGGUAGCUGGUCUGAGAGGACGAUCAGCCACACUGGGACUGAGACACGGCCCAGACUCCUACGGGAGGCAGCAGUAGGGAAUCUUGCGCAAUGGGCGAAAGCCUGACGCAGCAACGCCGCGUGGGGGAUGAAUGCCUUCGGGUUGUAAACCCCUUUCAGCAGGGACGAAAAUGACGGUACCUGCAGAAGAAGCUCCGGCCAACUACGUGCCAGCAGCCGCGGUAAUACGUAGGGAGCGAGCGUUGUCCGGAAUUAUUGGGCGUAAAGAGCUCGUAGGCGGUUCAGUAAGUCGGGUGUGAAAACUCAAGGCUCAACCUUGAGACGCCACUCGAUACUGCUGUGACUUGAGUCCGGUAGAGGAGUGUGGAAUUCCUGGUGUAGCGGUGAAAUGCGCAGAUAUCAGGAGGAACACCAGCGGCGAAGGCGGCACUCUGGGCCGGUACUGACGCUGAGGAGCGAAAGCAUGGGGAGCAAACAGGAUUAGAUACCCUGGUAGUCCACGCCGUAAACGUUGGGCACUAGGUGUGGGUCUCAACCAACGAGAUCCGCGCCGUCGCUAACGCAUUAAGUGCCCCGCCUGGGGAGUACGG